GGAAGGACUUUAUUCAGCUGGGAGCUUCGGCAAGACUCACAUCUCCAACAACCGAGCUCCCCGAGUGAGCAAUUCGUGUCCCUUUUAAGGGCUCACAGCUCUAAGGGGGUCCAUGUGAGAGGGUCCUGUUCAACUGAGCAAGCAGCGGGUGUUAUGUGACACGGGAGCUUUCAGAAAAUGAAGACCCAAAGGAACAAGAGAUCUGUGGAUUUUCAUGGACAGUCAUCUGUGGAUUUUCGAGGACAGUCAUGCAGAAGCAUACUUGGAGAAUGGGGAUUAUCUUGAGAAACAAAGCAUUGUUAAGAAAUGCUUCCCAGUCUCUAAAAAUGCUGAGAGGAGUUGGCAUGGAGGGGUGAAGGGAGGCUCUUAUCUUGGCCUUUAGAAGGACUUCCAUAUAGAACCACUUCUCCACGCCCACAUGGUCUUCUCAACACGUCCCCCGUAGGGGCUCCUUCUGUUCCAGUGCACAAGUGGCCCCCAUAUCCUACACCUGGAAGAACUAAGCCCAAGAGAAGGGCAGCCCAAAUGACCAGAUUGAUGCCUGAGAAACAGCUCUAAACUGAGAUAUUUUUACCUUUCAGCUGUUAGAUGUGGAAACAGAUACACAUUCCGCUGUCCUCCAAAACAGGUGAAGGCAUUUCACAAGCAAAUGGUCAGCUGGGUAGCCUUAAGCUGAGUUUCCCCACCCCUCCUACAGUCCUGCUUUUCUUUUCUCUUCUUUCUGGCAAUAAAUUCCUAGCUCUAAUUGUUCUCUAUGACUCACACCUUUGACCGAUAUUUACCCAAGAACCCACUGUGUGCUACUCUGUGCUUGCUGCUGCAUGGCUGUAGAAGACAUUUACCAAAGAUAUAAUCGCACAGUUGGAAUUGCUGGUGUUUCAGGUGGAACACAGAAACAUUCAGGAAACAUAUAUGGAAUCUGUGCAGCAGUGACAGAAGGAAGUCCAGACAUGUGAGUUGGCAGGCUUUAUGGAAGACAGAGACCCAAGAUGAACUUGGCAGGUUUACACACUGAUGUACCAGUGGCUCAGAUGGCCAUUCCCAGCCAGGCAAAAGCCAAGUGGGAGCAAGAUGAGUGGGAAAGUCCAUGAACAGAUGUGCUGAGUCCAUCCCAGUUACAGCAGUGAUGUUCUUGUGUGCUUGUCCAAUUUAAAAUGUCUAAAUAUUAUUAUUUUUUUUGAGACAAAGUCUCACUCUGUCACCCAGGCUGGAGUGCAGUGGCACAAUCUUGGCUCACUGCAACCUCCGCCUCCUGGGUUCAAGUGAUUCUCCUGCCUCAGCCUCCUGAGUAGCUGGGAUUACAGGCGCACACCAUCACACCCUGCCAAUUUUUGUCUUUUUAGUAGAGAUGGAGUUUCACCAUGUUGGCAAGUCUGGUCUCAAACUCCUGACAUCAGGUGAUCCACCCGCCUCGGCCUCCCAAAGUGCUGUGAUUACAGGCAUGAGCCACUGUGCUUGGCCUAUAUAUUAUUUUUUAACUCCUCUCAAGUUAUGGAAAAAGACAGUGCAGAGUUAUUCACAUCUUCUCAAGAAGGAAGGACCUGGAAUAGUUCAACACAGAAAGAGAUCUCGAACCAGUACUAUCACUCUCCCAGAGAAAACCACAGAAACUCCUCAAAGCAAAAGACAAAUGGAACUAGAAGUCUAAUCGUAACCCCCAAUGGCUUAUAACCCCAUCUGAACCUGCAUCCUUGAAUGUCACUCUGCCCACAAAACAACCAGAGGAAAUUCUGAAGAUGGACAUACUUUUUCCUCUCUCCUCUCUUUUUCCAACAUUCACUGGAAAAAAAUGUUUGACUGCUCUCUGUACCCCCUCUUGCUUUCUGCUUUUGUAUACCACCUGUUCCUGUGGUGUUUUAAUGAAUACUCAUAAGCCCUGACUCAUAAGAUUAAAAUGAGCAUCAUUC
ensembl:lncRNA